CAUUUCAUGCACAUUGAGCUAGGUUGCGUGCAUUACGUCCUCCUUUGUUGUAUCGUAGCUACUUUGGUUAUUAACUUAUCUUGUCACAAUUGCAUACAUCGAGCAAACUAUCAGACUUCGGUAGAAUCGUAAUGUCACACGAUCAUCAUGCUAUCUAUCCAUGUGUAGCUAGCUUGCUUCGGUAGAAACAAAAAAGUGACUUGCAGUCUAGCUAGUUAUGGGGUCUAGCUAGCAUAGCUAGUGGCUACUUACCAAGGAAUUUGACGGACAGCUGCCCGGUGACGCAAGCCCACGCAGAACAACUAGCUAGCUUGCUACGAACACCGGAUUGUAAACGAAACAGUUUCAAGCUCGUGCCACUAUGACCACCGUGUGACGGGAUUCUUUUCCAUCACGAUGUAUGUUGGGGGAGGGGGUGAUACUAUCGCUAUUUUUCAUCCAGAAUGACAAUAAUUAUUCAAAGACGACAGGUUUGGAAACCCUCUGUGUAGCCAUCGUUCUCUUUUUUUUCGCCGGAUGUGUGGAAGCAACUUGAUUUCCCUUGCAAAAUAGCUCCGUUUGUUAGCUACCCCUGGUGGCUAUUUGGGGCAUUGCACGCAACAACAAAAACUUUCCUAGGGAGCCUGUUCUCUUGUAUUGAGGUCGUUGCUGCAAACGAGAACGUGUUCUCAGUCAACUUACCUGGUAAAAUAAUGUAUAAAUAGAGAAGCUAAGGGUAAAAGCAAUCAGUCUCUUCCUCUGGACUGUGACACCUCAGUGAGAAAAAGUCAAACCUGCUUCCCUGGUAAAUGCUGUUGGACUCACCUGCUCAGAUGACUCCCACCAAGGGAACUACAGCUGUGUUUAUGAGAUUUAUGUUUUUUCUCAUAACUUCUCCUCCGAGAGUGAUCUCCUCUCCCUCACUGUCACAGCCUCUCCUCUGACAGCUUUCAUCAUCAGACUGGUUGAAGUACUUCAGAUAUCACUGACAGCCAACACUGCCAUCUAUCUGUACAUCAAGACCACCAGGAGGCGUGGGGAAGGUGUACAUUUGGAGAUGGUUUCUCUGAGGACCAGAGCUGAAGCCGGACCUGGAGAGAGCAGCCCAGAUACCAUGGGACUGGUGUAGACCUGAUGGGAUUUGAAUCCAAACCCAAUUAAAUGAAAUGAGUGUUAAGUUUCUAUUGGUUGUGCUAUGGCUGCACUUCCUUGCUCUUUAUUUGAUUAUUAUCAUCAUGUUUUAACGGCAUUAUGUGAUUCUUCUCAUGUUAUUUCAUAAACAAAUGCUCACUACAGUACUAGUAUUGUUUGC